UGAUGGGAACUCAGCUUCUGCAAAGAAGGUAAAGAAGACAUUUUCCAUCAAUUUGUAGUGAGGGGCCUAGUCAAGAGGUCUGUGAACAGAAGGAAGGAACCCUGCCCUUUAUGCAGAGGACAUCAUUUGAGUCUUCUAACAGAAAUGCCAGCACGUGAGCACUGCCAAGAGCCUACUCUGCCCCAGCUAAAAGCUCAGGCUUGGCAUGGUUAUCUCUGUAGGCAGAUGAAGACAUCUCUGGUGUGCUCCCAUUUCUGAG